GCCACGGUAGCUCAGGCUGGUAGAGCAAUGCACUGAAAAUGCAUGGGUCGCGAGUUCGACUCUCGCCUGUGGCA
rnacentral:tRNA from 1 species